rnacentral:rRNA from 1 species
GACGAACGCUGGCGGCGUGCCUAAUACAUGCAAGUCGAGCGGAAGUUGGAGAGCUUGCUCUUCAACUUUAGCGGCGGACGGGUGAGUAACACGUGGGCAACCUGCCCUGCAGAUCGGGAUAACUCCGGGAAACCGGUGCUAAUACCGAAUAGUUUUCGCCACCUCCUGGUGGCGUACGGAAAGACGGUUUCGGCUGUCACUGCAGGAUGGGCCCGCGGCGCAUUAGCUAGUUGGUGGGGGAACGGCCCACCAAGGCGACGAUGCGUAGCCACACUGAGAGCGGGAUCGGCCACCCUGGGACUGAGACACGGCCCAGACUCCUACGGGAGGCAGCAGUAGGGAAUCUUCCGCAAUGGACGAAAGUCUGACGGAGCAACGCCGCGUGAGUGACGAAGGUUUUCGGAUCGUAAAACUCUGUUGUGAGGGAAGAACAAGUACCAACUAACUACUGGUACCUUGACGGUACCUCACCAGAAAGCCACGGCUAACUACGUGCCAGCAGCAGCCGCCGUAA